UACGGGGGGGGCAAGCGUUGUUCGGAAUUACUGGGCGUAAAGGGCUCGUAGGUGGCCAACUAAGUCGGACGUGAAAUCCCUCGGCUUAACCGGGGAACUGCGUCCGAUACUGGUUGGCUUGAGUUUGGGAGAGGGAUGCGGAAUUCCAGGUGUAGCGGUGAAAUGCGUAGAUAUCUGGAGGAACACCGGUGGCGAAGGCGGAUCUCUGGGCCUUACCUGACGCUGAGGCACGAAGGUCAGGGGAGCAAACGGG
rnacentral:rRNA from 1 species